rnacentral:rRNA from 1 species
GUGGGGAAUAUUGGACAAUGGGGGAAACCCUGAUCCAGCCAUGCCGCGUGAAUGAUGAAGGCCUUCGGGUUGUAAAGUUCUUUUGGCGGGGACGAUGAUGACGGUACCCGCAGAAUAAGCUCCGGCUAACUUCGUGCCAGCAGCCGCGGUAAUACGAAGGGAGCUAGCGUUGUUCGGAAUUACUGGGUGUAAAGUGCGCGUAGGCGGUCAAGCAAGUCAGAUGUGAAAGCCCUGGGCUCAACCCGGGAACUGCGUUUGAUACUGUUUGGCUUGAAUUCGGUAGAGGUGAGUGGAAUUCCCAGUGUAGAGGUGAAAUUCGUAGAGAUUGGGAAGAACACCAGUGGCGAAGGCGGCUCACUGGACCGACAUUGACGCUGAGGCGCGAAAGCGUGGGGAGCAAACAGGAUUAGAAACCCGGGUAGUCC